GAGUUUGAUCAUGGCUCAGAUUGAACGCUGGCGGCAUGCUUUACACAUGCAAGUCGAACGGGCUUAGGGGCUUGCUCCUAAGUUAGUGGCGAACGGGUGAGUAAUACAUCGGAACGUACCGUGUAGUGGGGGAUAACGUAGCGAAAGUUACGCUAAUACCGCAUACGAUCUACGGAUGAAAGUGGGGGACCUUCGGGCCUCACGCUAUACGAGCGGCCGAUGUCUGAUUAGCUAGUUGGUGAGGUAGAGGCUCACCAAGGCAACGAUCAGUAGCGGGUCUGAGAGGAUGAUCCGCCACACUGGGACUGAGACACGGCCCAGACUCCUACGGGAGGCAGCAGUGGGGAAUUUUGGACAAUGGGCGAAAGCCUGAUCCAGCCAUGCCGCGUGUCUGAAGAAGGCCUUCGGGUUGUAAAGGACUUUUGUCAGGGAGCAAAACUUAGAGGUUAAUAACCUUUGAGGUUGAGAGUACCUGAAGAAUAAGCACCGGCUAACUACGUG
rnacentral:rRNA from 1 species